GGAGGAAUCUUUGGGACAAAUGGGGGCGAACCCUCGAUCCAGCCAUGCCGCGUGAACGAUGAAGGCCUUAGGGUUGUAAAGUUCUUUCAACGGUGAAGAUAAUGACGGUAGCCGUAGAAGAAACCCCGGCUAACUCCGUGCCAGCAGCCGCGGUAAUACGGAGGGGGUUAGCGUUGUUCGGAAUUACUGGGCGUAAAGCGCACGUAGGCGGACUAUUAAGUCAGGGGUGAAAUCCCGGGGCUCAACCCCGGAACUGCCUUUGAUACUGGUAGUCUAGAGUUCGAGAGAGGUGAGUGGAAUUCCGAGUGUAGAGGUGAAAUUCGUAGAUAUUCGGAGGAACACCAGUGGCGAAGGCGGCUCACUGGCUCGAUACUGACGCUGAGGUGCGAAAGCGUGGGGAGCAAACA
rnacentral:rRNA from 1 species